rnacentral:tRNA from 1 species
GGAGAGAUGGUAGAGCGGUUGAAUGCAACGGUCUUGAAAACCGUCGAGUCGCAAGACUCCCAGGGUUCGAAUCCCUGUCUCUCCGCCA